rnacentral:lncRNA from 1 species
AUGCCGAUGGGCGGUGGUGACCACCGAACCGCCAGCCCCCGGUGCUUUCYGCCUCCCUGGACCUGCGCGUGGGUGCAAAGCGCGCGCAGUGCCCGGCGUCGCCCUCCGGCCCUGGCCCCGGACACGGGAGAUGCCCAGCUCCUCUCCUGGCUUCCCUGCUGGGGGGAAGCACCAGCCGGGUGGCUAAAUGCCCCCGGGCAGGGCAGGAGGGGGAGGCCGGGGGCACCUGGCCCAGCAUCUGCCCUGGGGUGGCAGCGGCACAGGUGUCUCCUGUCCGUCCCCUGCGUGUCUAGCUUGUUUUUGUGUCUCGGUUUCAUGCCACCCUGCCUCUCCUCCCCCCACCCGGUUUGCCGCGGGAUUCCCCUGGCCACAUCCGCGUCGCUGUUGCAGGCAAGGACACACGUGUCGGCGAAGGGCCCACGGUCGUCUCGCGCGGCGGCGAGGCCGGGGCUCUGCCUCGGCCCAGCCCGGAGGGGAGAGGGUCCGUGGGAGCCCUGCAGCGCCGUGCCGGAGAGGGUGGCACCGCGCGGGGGCUCCUCUGCGCCGCCGCGAGGCACGCGAGAGCGUGCGCGUGUGCGUGCGCAGGACCGCCGUGGGCACGUCCCCGGGGAGCACUGUGCGCCCUCGCGGCGUCAGGGAGAUGCAGCGGCCCCGGGGCCCCUCGCCCGGCCCCCCGGGGCCCGCCGGGGGGAGGAUGGGGCCGGGGGACCGUUAUCAGCCCGCCUGCAGGCUGCGGCUGCGGUUUCCUGCUGUUGCAGGAGGGGGAGGGCGCCGGGGGGGCCCUGGCUGCGCCGAGCCCCACCUGGGGCAGGGCGGCACGGUGGCGCGCAGCCCGUCCCGCCGCGGGCAGGGCGGCCGGACCCCGUCGGCGCUGUCAAACCGGGGUCCCCGCUGCUGCUCGCCCCCUUCCCUUGCGAGCGGGUGGCCGUCGCGGGGCAAACACGGACGUUGCGUCGCGGCUUAAUCUCCCGUGCCCCAGAUGCCAGCCCCUGCCCUGCUCCCGUCCCACCCUGCCGCGGGCCCCCGAUAACGCCCUGCCCUCUCGCCGCCGCGCGGGAGGGCACCGCUCUGGCGCCUCUGCUCCGGCACGCGCUGUGCCUGGGGCCGGCGUGUGCGCCGCAGACGUCAACGGGCCAGGAGUUUCCCCAGCGAAGGCUCUGGGCAGGGCGAGCGGGGCUGGGCGGCCGGUCCCGGCGGGCGCUAGGCCUGGAGCUCCGGGACGGGCGGGCGGCGGAGCGCCUGGCGCCCCGUCCGGCAGCGGCUGCAUCCCUGUUCGGCCCAGCUGGCAGAGAGGCGGCAGCGGUUGGGCGGGAAGGGCACGCGUGUUAG